rnacentral:rRNA from 1 species
UAGAGUUUGAUCAUGGCUCAGGAUGAACGCUGGCGGCGUGCUUAACACAUGCAAGUCGAACGAACCUUCGGGUUAGUGGCGGACGGGUGAGUAACGCGUGAGAAUCUGCCCUCAGGAGGGGGACAACAGCUGGAAACGGCUGCUAAUACCCCAUAUGCCGCGAGGUGAAAUGAAUUUCGCCUGAGGAUGAGCUCGCGUCUGAUUAGCUAGUUGGUGUAGGUAAUGGCUCACCAAGGCAUCGAUCAGUAGCUGGUCUGAGAGGAUGAUCAGCCACACUGGGACUGAGACACGGCCCAGACUCCUACGGGAGGCAGCAGUGGGGAAUUUUCCGCAAUGGGCGAAAGCCUGACGGAGCAACGCCGCGUGAGGGAUGAAGGCCUCUGGGCUGUAAACCUCUUUUAUCAAGGAAGAAGAUCUGACGGUACUUGAUGAAUAAGCCACGGCUAAUUCCGUGCCAGCAGCCGCGGUAAUACGGGAGUGGCAAGCGUUAUCCGGAAUUAUUGGGCGUAAAGCGUCCGCAGGCGGCCCUUCAAGUCUGCUGUUAAAAAGUGGAGCUUAACUCCAUCAUGGCAGUGGAAACUGUUGGGCUUGAGUG